UACGUAGGGUGCGAGCGUUGUCCGGAAUUAUUGGGCGUAAAGGGCUCGUAGGCGGUUUGUCGCGUCGGGAGUGAAAACCAGGUGCUUAACACCUGGCUUGCUUUCGAUACGGGCAGACUAGAGGUAUUCAGGGGAGAACGGAAUUCCUGGUGUAGCGGUGAAAUGCGCAGAUAUCAGGAGGAACACCGGCGGCGAAGGCGGUUCUCUGGGAAUGACCUGACGCUGAGGAGCGAAAGUGUGGGGAGCGAACAGG
rnacentral:rRNA from 1 species